rnacentral:rRNA from 1 species
GGUGCGAAGUUGACUAUAUCGGUGGAAUUCUACCAUGACUAACAACUUGUCAUGCGUUAGGAUAAUACCGAGGGAAGUCAGAAAAUUUUAGAAAGAUUUUGAGGUUAGUUGAUAGUUAUAGAAGUCUAAACUACUCAAAAAACAGAAAAAAUAUCUUGACCCCGUAGAGACCAAACGUCAACCAUCCUAGAUUUAUUCCGGGAUGAAGAUAUGGUCCGUAUUUUGACCUGAUAUGCGUGAGACAGGUUGGUCUUUAUCUGGUGUGGGCGUUGAUACUUGAGGGGAGCUGCUCCUAGUACGAGAGGACCGGAGUGGACGAAUCUCUUGUGUACCAGCUGUUCUGCCAAGAGCACUGCUGGGUAGCGAAAUUCGGAACUGAUAAGCGCUGAAGGCAUAUAAGCGCGAAGCAGACCCCAAGAUUAGGUAUCGUAGACUCGUGGAAGACGACCACGUUGAUAGGGCGCAGGUGUAAGUCCCGUAAGGGAUUGAGCCGAGCGCUACUAAUGUCACUUGAUUUCUCACAAGAU